ACCGAUUCUCAGUCACCUAGUGACUGGAAAAUUCAUACUUUCAAUCAUUUCAUUCGUGAUAGUACAGGUGGUCCAGCCCAGCUCUCGUCUUCUGUAGCUCAGUUAUUAUUUAAGUUGGAGUUUUGAUAUUUUGUAGGCAUUAUUUAUACUCUAAGACACAUUACAGGAAAAUAUUUUUGAUUAUAUAGUGUCCCAUACAAAUAUGACGUCAUAAUAAUACAUUUUUAAUGGUUCUUAUUAUUUUUUAGUGUUCAAUAGAAUGCCUUUCUAGCUUCUUACAUGUUCCUAAAAUUAUUUUUCAAUUUGGUUCAGGGAUUACUGUUAAAAAAAUUUAAAAAAAUCGGUCUUACACGUUUUACACCUUUAGUUCUUAAAGUUAAUAAAGAAUAGAAACGGUGCUUUCUUUAUGACAGACUUAUUAAUUAAGUGUGAUUGAUCUGAAUUUAACUUAAACUUUAAAGAACUAAAAAACACAGAGUCGAGUUUUUGUUAAUACUUUAAUUCUUUCUGUAUCGAUACCUUGCUUAAAAACAGCAAAACUCGGUGCCGCAAACCUAAAAUCGCUUUAUUCUGACGCCGAAAAUAAGGAAUUAAGCGUAAAAAACCUCUAUUGAAAAAUUUUUGUUUUUAAUGAGAAUGACAUUCUGACAAAGACAUGUAUUGAGGAAACAAUAUUUUGAAAUUUAUUUUAUUAUUUAUACUCGAGAAGACAUUUCAGGAAAAUAUUUUUGAUUAUACAGAGUGUCCCAAAAAAGUAUGACGUCGUAAUAAUACAUUUUUUUAUUCUUUAUUGCUCAUUAGGAUAACUUUUUACAUGUUAUUGAAGUUUUUUAAAUUAGGUUUAGAGAUUACUGUUAAAAAAAAUUAGAACCAAAAAAAUCGGUUUUACACCUUAAACACUGAGUUAUGGAAGCGUCAUUAAUUUAAUUUGCAAUUAAAUGCGUGAUUAACUCAUCACGUCAUCAAAUUGAUGCAAUUUGACUUGAUUAGUCGAUUCGAGUUGUUAACUUUUAACAACGAAUUAAAUUUUUUUAAUAGAGCUUUUUAUAAACCUUAGUUUUAAAAAUUAAUAAAAAAUAGAUGAUAUUAUUAGUACGCAGGGCAAGUGCGGACAAGACGGGGUAUAGGCUUUAAAUAACAAACUAGAUGACCAAUCAUUAUUUUUAUUUUAUUUGCAGAAGACACUGAACUAUGCCGCCACGCCUUUUGCGAAUUUUAUUAAAAAAACUUGUUUUUUGCAAUUUUUUAUGAAUUUUUCACUUUCAUUAAUACUUGUCUGUUUUGUAAAUAGCUAACAACAUUUCAAAUUGCUUUUACGGUUAUUCAUAUGUGUACGAUUACUCUAACAGGUAAACACUUAUUUAUUUGUAGAUGGCAACAUAGUUUUUGGAAGUUAAUUUUUUCAUACAAUUUACCGUAAAGGUAAGACGGGGUAUGGGGUUUUGGCCGCAUUAAAAUAAUAAAAGUAAUACGUAAAAUUCUAUUCUCACUUCUUCACCAUAAUAAAACGUUAGGAAGAGACGAACUGAAAAAAAUCUGGGGUUGAUAAAAAAAGUUGCCCAGAAAGAAUAAAGUUUUUAGAUUAAAGCAUCAAUCGAGAGUAACAAUAGUGACUUUUUCUACUUUUUUCAAUUUUCUAUUUAAUAAAUGCAAUAAAAUGACGGACUUAGCCAUAGUUAUGGAUAGUGGUUUGACCUUUACACCUCAUAUUAUUCAGCUAACUAGUAGUGCAUUAAAGACUCUGGGCUUUAUAUGUAAAAAUACAAAAGAAUUUACUAAUGUAUCUUGCAUUAAAACUUUAUUUUUUACUCUUGUUAGGUCUAAGCAUGAAUAUUGUUGUGAUGUUUGGUGUCCGUUCUACCAGUUUUACGUAAAUGUUUUGGAAAAUAUUUUAAGAAAAUUUUGUAAAUACUUGUAUUUUAAAAUUUAUAAUAGACAUCCUGUAAGGCACUGUGUUCAAAGUGAUCUUUUAAAAAACGUAAAUGAAAGCACUUUAUUAAGUAAGAGAAAUGUUCAAUGUAUUAUUUUUCUGCAGAAACUUUAAUGUGGUGAGAUUAUCAGCUCUGAUCUUCUGGAUCAAGUGAACAUUGUAGUACCUAGAGCUAACAACCGAAAUCCUCUUACAUUUUAUUUUCCGCCCAUAAUACCUUUCAUUAUCUGAAUUCUCCACUUUUUAAACGUUUUAAAUUAUAUAAUAAUAUUACAAUAGAUUUAGAUAUUUUCUUCAAUAAUUUCCAAACUAAAAUUGUAAAGGUCAAGCUUCUAGAAUAUUUUUCUUUGUAAAUUAUAAUGUUUUGUAUAAUUUAAUUAUCUCAAUUUUGUUCUUUUUUGGUAUAUUGUAUUGUUACUUGUCCACUUUAGACUAAUAAGUCUGUUGGAAAUAAAUUAUAUUAUAAUUAUUAUUAUUAUUAUUAGUAUUAGUAUUAUUAUUAUUAUUAUUAUUAUUAUUAUUAUUAUUAUUAUUAUUAUUAUUAUUAUUAUUAUUAUUAUUAAUUACUUAACAAAGGUUUCACAGAAGUCUUAAUCAUGAAUGAUUCUUGCCCGCACUUCCCCUACGUCUUGAACAAGGUCUAACAGGACUUAUUAAUUAAGUUUGAAUGAUCUGAAUUUAACUUAACUUAAACUUCAAAGAACUUAAAAAUACAGAAUUAAAUACUUUAUUUUUUUCUCUUUGCAUGUGGUUUUUUCACAAUUUUUCUACAAUUCGUUAUGAUUAAAAUAAUUAAUGCAUAGGUAAUGAUCGAUACCUUGCUUAAAAAAGGCAAAACUCGGUGCCGAAAACCUAAAAUCGUUUUAUUUUGACGCCGAGAAUGAGGAAUUAAGCGUAGAAAACCUCUAUUGAAUUUUUUUUAUGAUAAUGACAUUCUGACAAAGACGAUGGUUUAAAUCAUGUAUUGAGGAAACAAUAUUUUAAAAUUUAUUGGUAACCUCUAUAAGUAAAAAAUAAAAUAAAGUUGUGUAUCUCAUAUUUCCAACUCAUGUUUCAUUGUAAUUCUUAAUUAAUUUGAGUUUUACAAUUAAAUGUGAGCUAUCCAGCGUUAUUUUUUUAUUAUUUUUUGCACAAAACAACAUUUAUAAGCACCGUUUCUUUCAGUAUAAGAAAUAUAACAAUAUUUUUUUCAGAGGAUUACUAACUUAAUAUCAUACGCUUGUUUUUAUUUGAUUAUUAGUUUUUAGGAUUGCCGGACUUACCUUGUAUUACCCAAAGCCAGUAGAUAUACUAAAGUAGCGACACGGACCUUGACAGGGCAACAAUAACGAUUAUACACUCUACAGAUGGCUCCACCAUCAAAAUUCAAAAACGUACGUCAAAAAUGUCAAGAUUUUUUCACGUUUGAAAAAUUGGUGAAUCAGAACAAUAAAUUCGAUACCAUGAAACCUUCAAACUUGUGCUUCACUCACGUAAAAAUAAAUCAGAUCGUCCCUAAAUUCAACUGAACAUUGCAAUGAGAAAGGCUUUUAGAAUGCGCAGAAUACAGCAACUCUUAUGGACAUUUCGAAGAAGGUGCUGGCGCUUCAACAGUGAAUUCAUUCCUUAAAAGAAUUUGAACUUUGUAUUUAACGAAAAAGCCAAAAACACGUUUCAAAAUAAUAGUUGUUUGAUCUCAAAAAAUUGUGAUACUUACAUUUCUAAUUUUAAUAAACUCCUCUCUAAGUGUUUUUACA